GAUGAACGCUGGCGGCGUGCCUAAUACAUGUAAGUCGAACGGAGAAUUAGCAAUAAUUCUUAGUGGCGAACGGGUGAGUAACGCGUUGGUGACCUGCCCCAAAGUGUGGGAUAACAGUCCGAAAGGAUUGCUAACACCUCAUGUGGUUAUCGGGUUUAGAAACUGAUAACUAAAGCAGAAAUGCGCUUUGGGAGGGACCUGCGUCCCAUCAGCUAGUUGGUGAGGUAACGGCUCACCAAGGCGACGACGGGUAAGGGGCCUGAGAGGGUGGCCCCUCACAAUGGAACUGAAACACGGUCCAUACACCUACGGGUGGCAGCAGUAGGGAAUAUUGGUCAAUGGGCGAAAGCCUGAACCAGCAACGCCGCGUGUGCGAUGAAGGUCUUCGGAUCGUAAAGCACUUUUCUGGGAGAUGAGAACGGACAGUAUCCCAGGAAUAAGCCUCGGCUAACUACGUGCCAGCAGCCGCCGUAACAC
rnacentral:rRNA from 1 species